rnacentral:rRNA from 1 species
GCAAGUCGUGCGCGAACGUCUUCGGCCAAGUAAAGCGGCGAAAGGGUGAGUAACACGUAACCAACGUACCCCUCAGAUUGGAAUAACCUCUGGAAACGGUGGGUAAUGCCAAAUGGUCUCUCGGUCGGCAUCGACUGACGAGUAAACGGCGGCUUCGGCUGUUGCUGAGGGAGCGGGUUGCGGCCUAUCAGUUUGUUGGUGGGGUAACGGCCUACCAAGACGAUGACGGGUAGCGGGUCUGAGAUGAUGAUC